rnacentral:lncRNA from 1 species
GGCUUAAUGUUAGUAACAGCCUCGGGCUGUGUGCUUGGCAUUUUCUGGAGGCACAGAGGAGUCCAGCCAACAUGAGCGGGGAAGGAGAAGUGGACCCGAAGAAAACUGCCAGCAGAUGGCCUCUUCCUGCUUUAAUCUUCUUUGCUCUGCCUUCUCUCCCGUUAUCAGAUCUCUGUGUUGCUUGAAGCAACUUCAGGAGAAAGGAAGUAGAAAUCUACUGCUAAACUAGACGCCCGAACAACCUGGAUGAGAUAAAGUGCCUUUUAUUCAGAGAUAAGUGUGUGUUUAUUUUACUUUCCCUACUAGAUUACAGCUCGCCUGAGGAUGGAAGUACUGUGGUUUGUUUCGUUUCCAUCUGCCUUUUCCAGAAUCACAGCUCUGGACAUGGCUGGUCAGUAGAUGAAUCAAUGACUGUCUGAGGUUGCUGUACCGACCAUUCGGCGGAGCACGUGUUUAAUGGAGCUCUGCCUACGGCUGUUCUGCCCUGGACAUCUCAUGUACCAAAAAAGAGGCUGCCAGAAAUGGAGAGCAGCUCGACUAAUCCAGCCUCGGCGAGUGCUUCCUGUUUGAAAAUGAGGCGAAAGCUUAUCCGACUAUUCCUCUUGCUGUGAAAAUUUCAUCUGUUUUUAUAGAUGCGUUUUCCCAACGGGUGAUCU